GAGACGGCAGAGGAGAAAGAGGAACGAGGAACACCAUGGGCUACAGUAAAGAAGAGCCAUGUGGCUGGGAGGAGCUUGCUCUCAGGAUUGGAAUAUGGAGAGAAGAGGCCGGAUGAAAAACAUGUGCAAAUAUUCAUGAGAAUUUUGGAAGGGAAGUAGUCCAGAUCUGGCGGUAGGUCUCGACCUUGUCUCCAGCACCACGCUUACCAUGCCUGCAGCCGUGCUCCCCGCCAUGAUGAUAACGGACUGAACUUCUAAAACCAUAAGCAAGCCCCCAAUUAAAGGCUUUCUUUUGUAA